rnacentral:rRNA from 1 species
AUUGAACGCUGGCGGCAGGCCUAACACAUGCAAGUCGAGCGGAUGAAGGGAGCUUGCUCCUGGAUUCAGCGGCGGACGGGUGAGUAAUGCCUAGGAAUCUGCCUGGUAGUGGGGGAUAACGUCCGGAAACGGGCGCUAAUACCGCAUACGUCCUGAGGGAGAAAGUGGGGGAUCUUCGGACCUCACGCUAUCAGAUGAGCCUAGGUCGGAUUAGCUAGUUGGUGGGGUAAAGGCCUACCAAGGCGACGAUCCGUAACUGGUCUGAGAGGAUGACCAGUCACACUGGAACUGAGACACGGUCCAGACUCCUACGGGAGGCAGCAGUGGGGAACAUUGGACAAUGGGCGAAAGCCUGAUCCAGCCAUGCCGCGUGUGUGAAGAAGGUCUUCGGAUUGUAAAGCACUUUAAGUUGGGAGGAAGGGCAGUAAGUUAAUACCUUGCUGUUUUGACGUUACCAACAGAAUAAGCACCGGCUAACUUCGU